GAAGGUGAUCAUAUCAACAUUAAUACAUCGGAUCCCGUCAGAACUCCAAAGUGAAGUAUGCUUCGGUUAGAAAGAUACUAGGAUGAGUGCCCCCCCUACCCCCCCCCCCCCCCCCGAAAGUCCUCAUGUUAUAUCCC
rfam:Nicotiana attenuata strain TT chromosome 10, whole genome shotgun sequence.